CGGGGGGAGCAAGCGUUGUUUGGAUUUACUGGGCGUAAAGGGCGCGUAGGCGGCCACCGCAAGUCGACUGUGAAAUCUCUGGGCUUAACCCAGAACGGUCAGCCGAUACUGCGGGGCUAGAGUGCAGAAGGGGCAACUGGAAUUCUCGGUGUAGCGGUGAAAUGCGUAGAUAUCGAGAGGAACACCUGCGGCGAAGGCGGGUUGCUGGGCUGACACUGACGCUGAGGCGCGAAAGCUAGGGGAGCGAACGGGAUUAGAUACCCCGGUAGUCCUAGCCUUAAACGAUGAAUGCUUGGUGUCUGGGGUUUUAUAGUCCCCGGGUGCCGUCGCUAACGCUUUAAGCAUUCCGCCUGGGGAGUACGGUCGCAAGACUG
rnacentral:rRNA from 1 species